CAGCCGCCGCGGUAAUACGUAGGUGGCAAGCGUUGUCCGGAAUUAUUGGGCGUAAAGCGCGCGCAGGCGGUUCCUUAAGUCUGAUGUGAAAGCCCACGGCUCAACCGUGGAGGGUCAUUGGAAACUGGGGGGCUUGAGUGCAGAAGAGGAGAGCGGAAUUCCACGUGUAGCGGUGAAAUGCGUAGAGAUGUGGAGGAACACCAGUGGCGAAGGCGGCUCUCUGGUCUGUAACUGACGCUGAGGCGCGAAAGCGUGGGGAGCAAACAGGAUUAGAUACCCUGGUAGUCCACGCCGUAAACGAUGAGUGCUAAGUGUUAGAGGGUAUCCACCCUUUAGUGCUGUAGCUAACGCAUUAAGCACUCCGCCUGGGGAGUACGCUCGCAAGAGUGAAAUUUAAAGGAAUUGGCGGG
rnacentral:rRNA from 1 species